GGGUCCAUAGCUUAUUGAUAGAGCAAUUGACUCCAGAUCAAUAGGUCACCGGUUCGAACCCGGUUGGGCCCU
rnacentral:tRNA from 1 species